UACGUAGGGUGCAAGCGUUGUCCGGAAUUAUUGGGCGUAAAGAGCUCGUAGGCGGUCUGUCGCGUCGGCUGUGAAAACCCGGAGCUCAACUCCGGGCCUGCAGUCGAUACGGGCAGACUGGAGUUCGGCAGGGGAGACUGGAAUUCCUGGUGUAGCGGUGAAAUGCGCAGAUAUCAGGAAGAACACCGGUGGCGAAGGCGGUGGGCUGGGCCGGCACUGACGCUGAGGAGCGAAAGCGUGGGGAGCGAACAGG
rnacentral:rRNA from 1 species